rnacentral:rRNA from 1 species
AAAAACUCCGGUGGUAUACGAUGGAUCCGCGUCUGAUUAGCCAGUUGGCGGGGUAACGGCCCACCAAAGCGACGAUCAGUAGCCGGCCUGAGAGGGUGAACGGCCACAUUGGGACUGAGACACGGCCCAAACUCCUACGGGAGGCAGCAGUGGGGAAUAUUGCACAAUGGGGGAAACCCUGAUGCAGCGACGCCGCGUGAGUGAAGAAGUAUCUCGGUACGUAAAGCUCUAUCAGCAGGGAAGAAAAUGACGGUACCUGACUAAGAAGCCCCGGCUAACUACGUGCCAGCAGCCGCGGUAAUACGUAGGGGGCAAGCGUUAUCCGGAUUUACUGGGUGUAAAGGGAGCGUAGACGGCAGCGCAAGUCUGGAGUGAAAUGCCGGGGCCCAACCCCGGAACUGCUUUGGAAACUGUGCAGCUCGAGUGCAGGAGAGGUAAGCGGAAUUCCUAGUGUAGCGGUGAAAUGCGUAGAUAUUAGGAGGAACACCAGUGGCGAAGGCGGCUUACUGGACUGUAACUGACGUUGAGGCUCGAAAGCGUGGGGAGCAAACAGGAUUAGAUACCCUGGUAGUCCACGCCGUAAACGAUGAUUACUAGGUGUCGGGGGGCCAAGGCCCUCCG